rnacentral:rRNA from 2 species
UUGCUACCCGCUGACGAGCGGCGGACGGGUGAGUAAUGCAUAGGAAUCUGCCCGAUAGUGGGGGAUAACCUGGGGAAACCCAGGCUAAUACCGCAUACGUCCUACGGGAGAAAGGGGGCUCCGGCUCCCGCUAUUGGAUGAGCCUAUGUCGGAUUAGCUAGUUGGUGAGGUAAAGGCUCACCAAGGCGACGAUCCGUAGCUGGUCUGAGAGGAUGAUCAGCCACAUCGGGACUGAGACACGGCCCGAACUCCUACGGGAGGCAGCAGUGGGGAAUAUUGGACAAUGGGCGAAAGCCUGAUCCAGCCAUGCCGCGUGUGUGAAGAAGGCCCUCGGGUUGUAAAGCACUUUCAGCGAGGAAGAACGCCUAGUGGUUAAUACCCAUUAGGAAAGACAUCACUCGCAGAAGAAGCACCGGCUAACUCCGUGCCAGCAGCCGCGGUAAUACGGAGGGUGCAAGCGUUAAUCGGAAUUACUGGGCGUAAAGCGCGCGUAGGUGGCU